rnacentral:rRNA from 1 species
UACGUAGGGGGCAAGCGUUGUCCGGAUUUAUUGGGCGUAAAGAGCGUGUAGGCGGUUAGGUAGGUCCGUUGUGAAAACUCGAGGCUCAACCUCGAGACGCCGAUGGAAACCAUCUAACUAGAGUCCGGAAGAGGAGAGUGGAAUUCCUGGUGUAGCGGUGAAAUGCGCAGAUAUCAGGAAGAACACCCGUGGCUAAGGCGGCUCUCUAGUACGGUACUGACGCUGAGACGCGAAAGCGUGGGGAGCGAACAGGAUUAGAUACCCUGGUAGUCCACGCCGUAAACGAUGGGUGCUAGGUGUGGGGGGUGUCGACUCCCUCCGUGCCGAAGCUAACGCAUUAAGCACCCCGCCUGGGGAGUACGGCCGCAAGGCUA